CCUACGGGAGGCUGCAGUGGGGAAUAUUGCACAAUGGGGGAAACCCUGAUGCAGCGACGCCGCGUGAGUGAAGAAGUAUUUCGGUAUGUAAAGCUCUAUCAGCAGGGAAGAAAAUGACGGUACCUGACUACGGAGCCCCGGCUAACUACGUGCCAGCAGCCGCGGUAAUACGUAGGGGGCAAGCGUUAUCCGGAUUUACUGGGUGUAAAGGGAGCGUAGUCGGCGGAACAAGUCAGAAGUGAAAACCCGGGGGUCAACCCUGGGAGUGCCUUUGAAACUGUUUGGCUGGAGUGCAGGAGAGGUAAGCGGAAUGCCCAGUGUAGCGGUGAAAUGCGUAGAUAUUAGGAGGAACACCAGUGGCGAAGGCGGCUUACUGGACCGUAACUGACGUUGAGGCUCGAAAGCGUGGGGAGCAAACAGGAUUAGAUACCCUUGUAGUC
rnacentral:rRNA from 1 species